CAUAUCAUUUGCAAAAGUAGACAACCAAGGGUAUUCAAUAUGGGGUAUGUCCAAACUUUAUUAGUAUACACUUAGUCAGAAACACUGACCAAAGUUAGCACUUAUAUUUGUUUGUGUGUUAAAAAUGAAAAAAACUAUUAUGAAUGCUACAUUUUUGACCAGUGUUUGUGACUAAGUGGCUACUAAAAAAGACUGAACAUAUACCCCAUUUGCAAUACCUUGGGUUGUCUUCUUUUGCAAAUGGUAUG